AGGUUAAGUUAUGAAGGGCGCAUGGUGAAUGCCUUGGUACUAGGAGCCGAUGAAGGACGGGACUAACACCGAUAUGCUUCGGGGAGCGGUAAGUACGCUUUGAUCCGGAGAUUUCCGAAUGGGGAAACCCAAUCAUCUUAGUCGAUGAUUGCCUGAGCAGUGAAUACAUAGCUGUCAGGCGGUAGACGCAGUGAACUGAAACAUCUAAGUAGCUGCAGGAAGAGAAAGAAAAUUCGAUUCCCUGAGUAGCGGCGAGCGAAACGGGAAGAGCCCAAACCAACGAGCUUGCUUGUUGGGGUUGUAGGACUGAACAUUUGAGUUACCAAAGUGCGACGUAGUUGAAGUCGUUGGGAAGCGACGCCAAAGAUGGUGAUAGCCCAGUAAACGAAACGUCACACUCUCAGUUCAGGAUCCUGAGUACGGCGGGACACGUGAAACCCCGUCGGAAUCCGCGAGGACCAUCUCGCAAGGCUAAAUACUCCCUAGUGACCGAUAGUGAACCAGUACCGUGAGGGAAAGGUGAAAAGCACCCCGGGAGGGGAGUGAAACAGUUCCUGAAACCAUGUGCCUACAAGCUGUCGGAGCACAUUUACGUGUGACGGCGUGCCUCUUGCAGAAUGAACCGGCGAGUCAUGAUUGCGUGCAAGGUUAAGGUGGAAAAACCGGAGCCG
rnacentral:rRNA from 1 species